GGGCAGUGGGGAUUCCAUAUGCAGAUAGGGAGAAGGAGCCUGUGAGAGCAGAAGCACCAUGGUGAUUGGGCAGUGGGGAUUCCCUAUGCAGAUAAGGAGGAGGGGCCUGUGAUGGUUAAGGUCAGUUGGAAUGCAGCUGUUACUGGUCGGAAGAUGUUCUGGGUAUAAAAGGAUAGCAGGCAGGGGUCUGCAAAAAGACAGGUCCUGAGGGAGGAAAGAGCCCCUUCAAGAGAAGGAGGAAGCCGUUGUGUAAAUGAACAAAAUCUGUUAACUCAGGGAGGGAGGAAGAAAAAACAUGAAGGGAGGGGGAAGAAAGAGUGGAGAAGAGCGAGUGGAGGAGAGAGAGAGAGAGAAAGAAGGGAUGGGGAAGAGAGACAGAAAGAGGGGCAAGGGACGGGCCUGAGCCUGUCAGCAGCCUGACAGGGGAAUGGGUGGCCAUGGCGGCACUGGCAGCAAGGAAGGGCCCAGUCAACCACUGCUGCUGUUUGGGGCUACUGAGGCCAUUGUCAGAGGGAGACAAGCAGGCAAGGGAUGGGCCUGGUUCUGUCAGCAGUCUGAGGGGAACAAGUGGCCAUGGUGGUGACAGUAGCGAGGAAUGGCCCAGCCAACCACUGCUGCUGCUCCUGAAGGGAAGAGCAGGGCUUGGGUGAGGGGUCUAUGGGUAUAGGGAGCUGCAGCUUGGCCAAUAGGCAGCAGCAAUGCUGCAGCCAUAACCAAGAAGGGUGAGGAAAAUGGAACCAAUGGGAUGGAAGAGGAACAGGAGUGCAGCUCAGGUGAGAGUGGGGAGCUCUCUGAAGUAAGAGAAACAAUCAAGUAUUGACCCUCUCAUGAAAAAGUGAGUCCACUCAGCAGCAAGCUACCAGGCAGAAAAACUUUUGUUGGGGCAGCAUGACUCUUUGCUGGGGUUAUUCCUUGUGACAUUUUCCCAGGUUAUGGUGGGACAGACCCCCCAUCAUCCUUUGCCUUCCCUCAUCUACAUAUCUCCUCCUAGGAAGUCUCAGUGUUCCCUUCCCCUCCCUUAUUAAAGUGGAAUACCAACCCCCCUGGACCCCAACUCUGCCCAGAAUUCAUGCUUAAGCUGUGGAGCUACUGGGGGGGGGGCAGGGGUGCCGGGGUGCCAUCGCUUCAAAAUGUGCUGCCAUGGAAUGGCAUUGCAGGUCAUUUAAAUAUGCUUAAAUGAUCUUUCCGUGCUGAAGGCGGGUGGAGCACUCCGAAAAUCCAUGAUCAUGCUUGGCACACCGCCUUCCAGACUGUGGCUAAUCGCGGCUGCCCUGCUGACAUAGUGAUGCUUUGCCCACAAUCUGGCCACGUAGCUUGCUUGGAUCUGCCUUGGAGGCUCCCCUCUCCUGGAACUGGAGUUGGCAGGCCACAGUUUGAAGAAUGUCUGUGGUGCGAUUUGGAGUUACAGAUUUAAACAGCAGGGCAGGGUUGCCAAACUCCAGUUUCACAUUACAUUUUGAGAAUCUUGUGAGAUUAACAUCAUAAUCCAGGAAGAAGUACGGAAGCAAGGUGGGAAACUGAGAGACUUGACAGAAUUUGAAACUCUAAUAACAAAGAACUCAGAGCAUUUGAACCCUUACAAAUGCCUCAGGAGAACUCCAGGCAAACACACCUACCUGGAACUGCCACUCCACUAAUUCAACUGCGGACACAAGUACAAUGUGCCCCACACAGUGUCACUAUCAAGGUGUUGUUUCCUUGUCUUCCCCAUCACAAGCUUACAGAAGAGUAAAGACCUUGGGCAGCAGAAUCAGGCUCUUUCCUUGAAGAAUCACGCUGAAGGGCAGACACAACUCACUGGUGGAGCGAAGGCUUCCUGCUGCUUAUAAUCAGAAGAGCUGGUGAUACAUCUUUCUCUUGCAGUAGAUGAGACUUUGCCAGCAGAGCUGAGGGGAGUGCAAUUUCCUUUCGCCCAUCCAGUCAGAAUUUAUGUUGAGAAAAAGGAAGUAGAGAGUGGAUACAAGUAACUUCCCCAUAACUCUUAGGUUAUGAAAUGCCAUGAUACUGGUCAGGAAAUGUAUUGCAGAAAAGAUUGGGAUUGUAUUGAUCCCAGUGGAUAAGCCGAAAGAUCACAGGGCUAUGUUGUUCUUUCAAAAUAAACAUGUUAAGUACAGUGGUUAGAACAGAGCUGAAUAACUUUGGCCCUUCUGCAGAUGUUCAACUCCCAUCAUCUCUGACAAUUGGCUACUGUGCCUGGGGAUGAUGGGAGUUGUAGUCCAACGACAGCUGGAGGAACGAAGUUGUGCAGCCCUGAGUUAGAAUUAUGGGCAAAGACUGGGGAGACCUGGGUUCAAAUGCCCAUUCAGCCAAGAAACCCGGGGGUGACUUUGGAUCAGUCACUUACCUCUCAACCUACCCUACCUCACAAACGUUGUUGUGAAGAUAAAAAUAGCCACGUUACACUGCCAUGAACUCCUUGGAGCAAAAGGGGAUAGACAUGUAAAGAAAUGAACCUCUAUUCAGACAUUAUGCUGUACAGGUGUGCAGAUGUACAUGUUUUUGUGUGAAUGACUGUACCUGUGUUCAUUUUAAAAGUGAACCUGGGUACAGGAUCAUCAAAUGCAUGGUACAGAGAGGAAGGGUUCUGCUUUACGUGUGUUCAACAUCACAUGUGAAUAUACAGGGAAUUUACCUCGCUAUCCGUGGACUCACCAUCCAUUUUUUCGUGUAUCUGAUUUCAUAUCUGCGGUUACAAAAAGGUUAAAACUCAUGUAUCCACUGUUCCUAGAGGCCCAGAAGUGACCGUGGAGAUCACUACUGGCUGCCAUUUUGUAAACAUUUGUAAGCAGGAGCCAUUUUGUAGCUCAUUUAUUUUUUAAAAAGGCAUUUUUCUGUGUUUUUUGCAGUGUUGGGGCACUUCACAGUUUGGGGGCCACAAGGAGGGCACAAGGAGACUCUGCAGAGCAUGGCGCAGUAGGGGUUUUUUUGGGGGGGGGUGUUUUUGUUUUUAACUUUUUUGCCUUUUUUUCCAUCCAGGAACCUAACCCCCUGUUUUCCAUAGGCACAAUGCCUCAUUACUCACAGUUUUGUUACCUGCAGUAGUAGGCAAGGAAUGGAACCUGCACGAGUAACAAGAAAAUUGCCAGAUCUGGAAGAAGAUUACACAGUUAAAAGAGAUUAUCAUCAAAGGUCUGAGGCAACCCUAGUGGAUGGGCAAACAGAAGGUGAAAUAUGAGCUUGCCGAUAAAGAGCUUUCCCCCUUGAUUACUAGCUUUACAUCCUAAGAGAAGGAAGAUAUAGAUUUCCCCCCCAAUGUACUGUAAAGCUCAUCUCUUUGGGGUCCUUCUCCCUCCCCAUAGGAGAAAUGUACUAUAUUUCCUAUCCCUACUUUAGCUGAGUUUGCUCAAUUGUAAGUGGGCAAGGAAGUUUAUUAAGCUGAGUUUGCAUGAAACUGUGUUUGAAAGAUGAAAGCAUUAUUAUAUCCUGUAUAUUAUUCACCCUAUCCUACAAAGGUUGGGUAGAAGAGUGCAUUUCAAACUGUGUUCCAGGGAGCCUGAGCUUCCUUGGAAGCUAAUGAGGGCUCCAUACCGAGAAAAAUAAGGGUGGACAAGAACAUAACUUGUGAAUAACUGUACAUGCAUACGGAUCUCUAUGUGCAUAGAGAUGUGCAUACAGAUUGUAAAUGCAUUCAAUAUAAUGUGUGGCAAAGGCUCAUGUUUGUUAUUGAAAUGAUAUUUAAUACGGGCUAACUGCAGCUGUGGCAUGAUCAAGCAGAGACAGACUCCAGUGGUUCUGCUUUGUCGACACAUGCUCAGAUGUUAUUUAUUUUAACCCUUUAGAAAUAACAUUAGAAAUAUUGGGUCUGUUGGUUAUUUUAAUAUUUGUACUUGCACCCAAAUAAAUGACUGUUUCCCUCUGGAACUAAGAAACAUAGUCAAUGGCUUUAAAAUUUGCUAAACUAGCCAAACAGUUUGAAAACAUUGGAUCCAAACAAGAGGUCACAGGAACAUAGGAAGCUGCCAUAUAUUGAGUCAGACCACAGGUCCUUCUAGCUCAGUAUUGUCUACAUACACUGGCAGCGACUUCUCCAAGGUGGCAGACAGGAAUCAUUCUCAGUCCUUUCUUGGAGAUGCCAGGGAGGGAACUUGGAACCUGCUGCUCUUCCCAGAGCGGCUCAAUCCCCUGAGGGGAAUAUCUGACAGUGCUCACACUUCUAGUCUCCCAUUCAUAUGCAACCAGGGUGGACUCUGCUUAGCUAAGGGGACAAGUCAUGCUUGCUACCACAAGGCCAGAAUAGUUGGAAGAUGUUCAUUUCCAUCCAGGUUAAUACCAGUUACAAAGCUUGUGUGACCAACGAACUCAUUCAACAUGUUUUCUUUCCUCUCACUCUUAGACUCGGAUGCAGUGUAGGGUGGUGAGAAAUAUUCACAAGAGCACUGAGUAUAAUAUGCUGUGCUACCUAUUGCUUACUGCAAUAACUGUUUUUCUGGAUCUCAUUGACAAAGGGGGAACAAAAAAGGAGGGAAUUUCAAAUGAAUUCAAAGGGACUGGGAAGCAGAGAGAACCCUUACAUCAGGAGAGGAGGAAGGAGUCAAGGAAGGUUUGAUUUUGUGCCUUCUUUUCUUUUCUUAGCACUGAAUAUAAUGCUGUGCUAUUGCUUGCUGCUAUAACUAUCUGGUUUUUCUGGAUCUCAGAUUGACAAAGGCAGAACUCGAGUGCCUUCCUUCCUUCUUUGAGCUGGGGUUUGGUCUGUUUGUGAGAUGGUGUUGUGUCAAGACAUGGACAGUGGCAGCUCAGCACGAUGGGUCUGUGUAAUAUUUCUUGGUGAUUGCUGUGAUGAGCGCCAUGUCUGGCCUUGACUAACUUGUGCUGCAUUCACUGUUCUGCUCUGCUCUGCAAUCUGCAUUGCAAAGUGUACUCAGUCAAAAUGUGGCUGAAGACAUUGCUGUAGCUGAACUUACGGCUAUGUUUGCUGGGCUGCUUAAGGUGCUGCUGUGCUGUGGCAGCGGUUUCAAGUAAGGACAGAGUCAUAAUUGUGUGUGAGAGAACAACUUGAGCCAAUUAUGUUACUGCAUGCAGACACUGUGACUGGCAGUGGAUUCUGGGUUAGUGAUUCAUUUUUGGCCAUCUUUCGACUGUGUGUUUGGCAAAACGUUUUGUUCUGGGUUGGGAGGGACUGUGUGUACUAAUUCUCUGCAGUGUUAUUUUUCAAGGCAGGGUUGCAAAAUUUGUGCUCUGCUUGUUUCACCCAUAGGGAACAAUGGGGAAGUCAAACCACCCCAUUAUUCCCCAUAGAUAGGUCCUCGGCACACCCAAGCAGGUUGGGUGGUAC